rnacentral:lncRNA from 12 species
GGGGUCUGCUGAGAAAACAAACAGCAGAGGGAAGGCAACACCGAGUGACAAACCCACUGAGGUACAGAAGCAAAAAGCCUGGAAGAGACGCGCUGGGCCAGGAGCAGGUGCGUUCCAGGCCGUGCUGCCGCCCUAGCGGGCCCCGAAGAUGCAGCCACCUCCCUCCCGGGUCCUUUCCCGCACCCUUGUCAAGGGCCCCACCGGCUGGAGGUCCCCCCACCUCGGGUGUCCAGGCUGCAGGGAGCACAUCUGUGGUGCCGACCCAGGGCCACAUCCUGUCCCUGCUGGCAUCCCCCAGUGCCUCCUGGACCGGCCCGGGCUUCGCACCCAGCGACCCACCUUGCAGCUUUCACUGUGGUGACACCCCUGCCACCUGCCCCUCACCCAGCCAGGGGACACAGGUGGGCUCUGCUGCUGUCUCUGCCCGUACAACAGGUGCGGUCCCGCCAACACCUUCCUCCCUCGUGCCCUCUCCCUUCUCCUCCUGUGGGUCCCCAGCCACACUCCUCCGGCCCAUCUCAGGCACUCCCGACGUGGGUUUCCAGCCAGGCCCACCCAGCGCAACCCCCGAUGGCCUUUCAAACAUGGGCCGCAGGCCCAGCCUGUCCCCACGCUUUGCUUCCCGAGAAAGUCCCUUCCCGCCUACAUGUGCUCACAUGCACCCACACACUCACAUACCACAGAGACACACAGACACACUCCCACCGGCUCACACCCACCCACACGAGCACCAGCACGCCACACAACCCUUCCAUGUACAUUCUCUCACAUGCACGCACACACUCGGAGAUGGAGGCUCGGCGGCACUUCCUGGCCACACAGGGUACAGUGGAUGUGGAGGGCGGGAGGCAGGUGGGACCUGAGCUAGGUGGCCAACAAGCCUGUGGGCCCCACGGUGGUGGUGGUGCUGAUGGCCUGACAUGCACCGUGUCCCCGUCUGCCUUCGUCCAACUCACCCAACACGGUGCAAGACACACAGGACGUUCUUCAACAAUAUUUCCUCCACCAGUAGCCCUGAGUAAGAGCUUACCUGAGUAAGAAUGUGCAGCAACUUCCAGUUUGCAGCCCAGCACUUCAAGUCAGUCUUGUUGAAACCCUUGGAUCAUUUAAAAAUAAAAAAGGGGGGGAACCUGGAUGGCUCGGUGGU